UCCUUCCUUAUUCACUUAUGCACAAUACAUUUUGAAACUUCUUAAAAUUAACAUAGGCACUCCAAGGAGUCAUGGAUUCGCACCCAAACUUUCACGACUCAAGGCAUCUCUCUACUUGCCUUAUUUUGCCAAUUUGGUUCAUAAAGUCCCAACGGCUAGUGUAUUUAAUUUUGGGUGAUUUUCUUCGGGAGAGAAUCAUUGAUUGGAACAUCAUCAAAAACUCUCAACUGGGAUAGAUGAUCU
rnacentral:lncRNA from 1 species